rnacentral:tRNA from 2 species
GCGAGGAUAGCUCAGUGGAAGAGCAGAUGGCUUGUAACCAUCCUGACGCGGGUUCGAAUCCCGCUCCAGCGCG